CGGGGUGUGGCGCAGUCAGGCAAGCGCGCACCGUUCGGGACGGUGAGGUCGCCGGUUCAAAUCCAGUCACCCCGACCA
rnacentral:tRNA from 1 species